AGCAUCUACCGUAUUGCCUCUGGUUUC
rnacentral:piRNA from 1 species